AGUUUGAUCCUGGCUCAGAUUGAACGCUGGCGGCAUGCCUAACACAUGCAAGUCGAACGGCAGCGCGGGGAGCUUGCUCCCUGGCGGCGAGUGGCGGACGGGUGAGGAAUGCAUCGGAAUCUGCCCAGUCGUGGGGGAUAACCCGGGGAAACCCGGACUAAUACCGCAUACGACCUUCGGGUGAAAGCGGGGGACCCUUCGGGGCCUCGCGCGAUUGGAUGAGCCGAUGCCGGAUUAGCUUGUUGGCGGGGUAACGGCCCACCAAGGCGACGAUCCGUAGCUGGUCUGAGAGGACGAUCAGCCACACUGGGACUGAGACACGGCCCAGACUCCUACGGGAGGCAGCAGUGGGGAAUCUUGCGCAGUGGGCGAAAGCCUGACGCAGCGACGCCGCGUGAGGGAAGACGGCCUUCGGGUUGUAAACCUCUUUCAGGAGGGACGAAGCCACUCGGGUGAACAGCCCAGAGGGUGACGGUACCUCCAGAAGAAGCCCCGGCUAACUACGUGCCAGCAGCCGCGGUAAUAC
rnacentral:rRNA from 1 species